rnacentral:rRNA from 1 species
AAUAAAAAUUUAAUUAAAAAGAAGUAAAAAAAGAAUUUUUAAUUUUAAUAUUUUAAUGGGGGUUAAAGUAUUAAAAAAGAAAAAAUUUUUAGAUUUAUAGGGAAGAAGUAUUGUAAAAGAAUAUUGAAAUAUUUGAAAAAAUAAUUAAAAAAAAAGUAUAUUUUAUUUAUAGUAUCUUGUGUAUCAGAGUUUAUUAAAUAAAAUUUUUUUAUAAAAAAUUCUCGAAUUUAAAGGAGUUAAUUAAUUAAGUAUUUUAUUGUAGCAUAAAUAUAAAAAAUAAUUAAUUAGAAAUGAAAUGUUAAUCGUCUUUAAUUAUAUCUAGUUUUUUUUAGAAAUAAAUUUAAUUUAGAAUUUUAUUUAUAUUAUUUAAAAUGAUUUAUUUAAUAAAAGUUAAAAUUUAAUAUUUUGGGGGAUAAUCUUUAAAUUAAAAAUUUAUAAUAAUUUUGUAUUUAAAAAAAUUAAAAUUUUUAAAAUUUAAAUUAUUUAUAAAUUAUAUAUUUUUAUAAAAAUUUUUAAUUAAAUUAAAAUUUUUAAUUAAAAAUUUAAUUUUUUAUGAAAAAGUAAUUUUUAUUAAAUAAAAAUUAGUUAUAAUGAUAAAAUUAGUAUAAUUAAAAAAAAAUAAAAUAAAAAAUAAUUUAUAAUUAAUUAAAAGGAAUUCGGCAAAAAUUUAUAUUCACCUGUUUAUCAAAAACAUGUCUUUUUGAGAAUAAUUUAAAGUCAAAUCUGCCCACUGAUUAAUAUUAAAGGGCUGCAGUAUAUUGACUGUACAAAGGUAGCAUAAUAAUUAGUCUUUUAAUUGGAGACUUGUAUGAAAGAUUUAAUGAGAUAUAAACUGUCUCUUAAUUAAAAUUAAAAUUUAAUUUUUUAGUAAAAAAGCUAAAAUAUUUUUAAAAGACGAGAAGACCCUAUAGAGUUUUAUAAUUGAUAUUUUAAUUUGAUUAUUAUAAAAUUUAAAUUUAAUAAAAAUUUAAUUAUUUUGUUGGGGUGAUGAAAAAAUAAAUAAAACUUUUUUUAAAUAAUUAACAUAAAUUAAUGAAAAAAUGAUCCAUAAAUAAUGAUUAAAAGAAAAAAUUACCUUAGGGAUAACAGCGUAAUUUUUUCUUUUAGUUCUUAUAAAAUAAAAAGUUUGCGACCUCGAUGUUGGAUUAAGAUAAAAUUUAAAUGCAGAAGUUUAAAAUUUUGAUCUGUUCGAUCAUUAAAAUCUUACAUGAUCUGAGUUCAAACCGGCGUAAGCCAGGUUGGUUUCUAUCUUUAGAAAAUUAAAAUAUUUUAGUACGAAAGGAUUAAAUAUUUAAAAUAAUUUUAUAUAAAAGAAUUUUAAUAAAAAUUAAUUAAAUUUAUUUAAUUAUUUAGAUGUAUAUAUAUAUAUAUAUAUAU